GGGGUCCUUGGAAUAUUCGUCCACAGUUCCCGGAGGAAAAACGAAGAAGGCACACGGAGUCUGCUCUAACCCCGUCUUCCUUUCAGGGAUGAGAGCUCGAAGAAGAAGACGACUGGGUCUUUCCCAGAGGAUCUCCUCCUCUUCUGAGCAAGGAAACGAAGUGAUGAUGUUCACCGAACCUCCUCUGAUCCUCCCCAGCCCCCCCCCGGAUCGUGCGUUGACUAAUUGAGGAGUGGUGAGC
rnacentral:lncRNA from 1 species